UCGAGGAUCAUUCGCAAUGCGCGAAAGCGUGACGAUGCGACGCUGCGUGGAGGAUGACGGCCCUAGGGUUGUAAACUCCUGUCAUGAGGGAAAAGACAGUGGAGAGUUAAUACCUCUUCGCCUCGAUGGUACCUCAAGAGGAAGCCACGGCUAACUCUGUGCCAGCAGCCGCGGUAAUACAGAGGUGGCGAGCGUUGUUCGGAUUUACUGGGCGUAAAGGGUGCGUAGGUGGUUUCGUAUGUCGGAUGUGAAAGCCCAUGGCUCAACUGUGGAAUUGCAUUCGAAACUGCGGAACUUGAGUGCAGGAUGGGAGAGCGGAAUUCUUGGUGUAGCGGUGAAAUGCGUUGAUAUCAAGAAGAACACCGGUGGCGAAGGCGGCUCUCUGGAAUGCUACUGACACUGAGGCACGAAAGCUGGGGGAGCGAACAGG
rnacentral:rRNA from 1 species